UACGGAGGAGGCAAGCGUUAUCCGGAAUUAUUGGGCGUAAAGCGUCCGUAGAUGGUUUUGUCAGUCUGCUGUCAAAGCACAGGGCUUAACCCUGUAAAGGCAGUGGAAACUACAAGACUAGAGUGCAGUAGGGGUAGAGGGAAUUCCCAGUGUAGCGGUGAAAUGCGUAGAGAUUGGGAAGAACAUCCGUGGCGAAAGCGCUCUGCUGGACUGCAACUGACAUUGAGGGACGAAAGCUAGGGGAGCGAAUGGG
rnacentral:rRNA from 1 species